AACGAACGCUGGCGGCAGGCCUAACACAUGCAAGUCGAACGAUCCUUCGGGAUAGUGGCAGACGGGUGAGUAACGCGUGGGAACCUACCUAAGGGUUCGGAAUAACUCAGGGAAACUUGGGCUAAUACCGGAUACGUCCUUCGGGAGAAAGAUUUAUCGCCCCUAGAUGGGCCCGCGUUGGAUUAGCUUGUUGGUGGGGUAAAGGCCUACCAAGGCUACGAUCUAUAGCUGGUCUGAGAGGAUGAUCAGCCACAUUGGGACUGAGACACGGCCCAAACUCCUACGGGAGGCAGCAGUGGGGAAUCUUGCACAAUGGGCGAAAGCCUGAUGCAGCCAUGCCGCGUGAGUGAUGAAGGCCCUAGGGUUGUAAAGCUCUUUCACUGGUGAGGAUAAUGACUGUAACCAGAAAAGAAGCCCCGGCUAACUUCGUGCCAGCCGCCGCCGUAACAC
rnacentral:rRNA from 1 species